GCGCCCGUAGCUCAAUCGGAUAGAGCACCGGAUUUCUAAUCCGGUUGUUGCAGGUUCGAGUCCUGCCGGGCGCGCCA
rnacentral:tRNA from 1 species